rnacentral:rRNA from 1 species
GACGAACGCUGGCGGCGUGCUUAACACAUGCAAGUCGAACGGAAAGGCCCUGCUUUUGUGGGGUGCUCGAGUGGCGAACGGGUGAGUAACACGUGAGUAACCUGCCCUUGACUUUGGGAUAACUUCAGGAAACUGGGGCUAAUACCGGAUAGGAGCUCCUGCUGCAUGGUGGGGGUUGGAAAGUUUCGGCGGUUGGGGAUGGACUCGCGGCUUAUCAGCUUGUUGGUGGGUUGGCUUACCAAGGCUUUGACGGGUAGCCGGCCUGAGAGGGUGACCGGCCACAUUGGGACUGAGAUACGGCCCAGACUCCUACGGGAGGCAGCAGUGGGGAAUAUUGCACAAUGGGCGGAAGCCUGAUGCAGCAACGCCGCGUGCGGGAUGACGGCCUUCGGGUUGUAAACCGCUUUCGCCUGUGACGAAGCGUGAGUGACGGUAAUGGGUAAAGAAGCACCGGCUAACUACGUG